CGAACGGGUGAGUAAUGCGUGACCAACCUGCCCCAUGCUCCAGAAUAGCUCUUGGAAACGGGUGGUAAUGCUGGAUGCUCCAACUUGACGCAUGUCUUGUUGGGAAAGUGUUUAGUGGCAUGGGAUGGGGUCGCGUCCUAUCAGCUUGUAGGCGGGGUAAUGGCCCACCUAGGCUUCGACGGGUAGCCGGCCUGAGAGGGCGGACGGCCACAUUGGGACUGAGAUACGGCCCAGACUCCUACGGGAGGCAGCCAGUU
rnacentral:rRNA from 1 species